GGGGAUGACGGGAUUUGACUGGACUUUGAAUUUAGGACUGCAAGCCGAGAAUGAUUACACUCUCGUAAAUAUGUAAUCUACAUUCAUAUCUGCCGACUCUAAAGUCGCAGCUCCAGUUUACGCAUACGCGUAAAUACAAACGGAUUUAUCCGAUUGGGGACUUAAUCUAACUAUCCUAACUGGUUGGGUCUAAGUUUAUAUCGUUAGGUUGAUCGAAUUACGUAGGAGGAUUUAUCAUAAAAAACCUUAUCUUACUGACUGUCACUAACGCUUCUUCCGGAUGAGGCGGACAGUCAAACAAAAAUCCGGGCAAGCUUGUAGACGUCUUAGAGGAUAAUUUCAGGACGGGGGUUCGACUCCCCCCAUCUCCACCA
rnacentral:tmRNA from 1 species